rnacentral:rRNA from 1 species
CCUACGGGAGGCAGCAGUGAGGAAUAUUGGUCAAUGGUCGGGAGACUGAACCAGCCAAGCCGCGUGAGGGAUGAAGGUACAGAGUAUCGUAAACCUCUUUUGUCAGGGAACAAAGGCGGGGACGCGUCCCCGGAUGAGUGUACCUGAAGCAAAAGCAUCGGCUAACCGCGUGCCAGCAGCCGCGGUAAUACGGAGGAUGCGAGCGUUCUCCGGCUUUAUUGGGUUUAACGGGUGCGCAGGCGGUCUGUUAAGUCAGCGGUAAAAGCCCGGGGCUCAACCCCGGCCCGCCGUUGAAACUGGCAGUCUCGAGUUGGAGAGAAGUAUGCGGAAUGCGCGGUGUAGCGGUGAAAUGCAUAGAUAGCGCGCAGAACUCCGAUUGCGAAGGCAGCAUGCCGGCUCCACACUGACGCUGAGGCACGAAAGCGUGGGUAUCGAACAGGAUUAGAUACCCCAGUAGUC